GGCUCCCGCCGGAGGCAUCGAUGGUGCCAGGGGGAGGGAGAAGAGGAAGAUGAGAUGGGGCGUGGGUGGGGUAGGGGACUCCAGCAGAGUUGACCAAAUUUCAGGUCUCGGUUUCAUAAACACAUCGGAGUUGCAUCGACCAAAGGUCGUCCUCUCUCAUGUAUCCCAUCACCUUGGUGCACCUUAUCGGCAGGCCCAGCCCCUGAAACGUUGACCUUCAGAACAGGAGCGGUCGUAGUGGACCCGUCGUGCGCACACGGCCAUCUUACUCACGUCUAGAAGAGCCAUCGGUGCUCGUGUCGCGUCGCGGCUUGCGUGCAGGUAAAUUUGUCGGGCGGGCGACUUGCGGCGAGAGACGAACAGAGAGAGAGAGAGACCUAUGGGCCACACCACCCACGCCAACGCACACGGGGAGCUCAUUAACGCCUCCCAUUGGCGGGAGUGAAUCACCAACCGAGACACCGCCGUCAAAUUAAUGCGGACCUUUAAUGAUUGAGAGAGCAUUCAUUCUCUGCUUUGAAGUGUCACGUCGGAGACCUCUCGUUCACAUCGGGGUGGUGGUGGGGGGGGGGGUGUGCAGGUAGAGGGGUGGUGCCCAUUGUUGGGCACGGAGCAAGUGGCCUCCGGAGUUGAGGAGGCCCUUGCGUGGACACGCGCACCUCCAGCAACGUUUCCAUCGCAAACCCCAAAACGAAGUCGUCGUGUAAACCGCCGACGCCGCUUCACUCACCUCGUCGAGUUAUUCGAUAAAUUCGACUGUCGCUCGGGAGAGGUUUCACUCACGGGGCGGCGCGCAAAGCGCCGGCGGCGGUGCGUCGCGCUACACGCGGUCGUCGCUCGACGCCUCGGGGUCGCUUGUGACCGGUCUGACGCAGGUGGCACACGCCGGUUAAUUAUUCUCGCCCAUUCACACCGUCCCCCUCUCGCGUUUUGUACCCAAAAGGAGUACUCGAGGUUGCCGUGGUGAUGGCUGUGGAUGCGCGCGUGGUGCUGUUGACGGAGGUCCGCGCAGUCCCCCUCUCUGAGCCCACGUCGCUGCGCGCCUCCCAGAAAAUCCGCGGCGCUCUCCGCACAGGGGCAGCAGCAGCAGCCUCACCGGCAGCGGCCCCGACACGCGCCACGUCGCCCGUGGCAGGGCGCGCCAAGCUGCUGGUCUCCCCCCCCACCUUGCCGGGGCCUGCGGGCCGAGGAGUACGCACGUCGUUGCCGGCGGCACCUUGUCGAGGCUCGCGGUGUGGCUCUCGCGAGAGCCGGCGUCCUCUCGAGAGGUCAACGCGGCCCAUCGGAGCCGUCACCUUUUGGCCCACGACGCAGUCGCCAAACGGCGGCCGCGCGUCUUCGUGGUGAAGACGCAGCUCGCGAUGGCCGCCCGCUCACGAUAGCGCGUCCUGUUACUUCGCAAUGUUAAGGAAUCACCGCAUUUGUCUCCCGUGUUUUGCUUUCGUUUGACCCUUGCCUCUACGCUUCGGUUUUACAGCAGUGGGUAGAUCAUCGCUGCCGCUGCUGACGAUAGAUCGACAUAGCGAAGGCCCUCAGGUACCCGUCUGUGAAACAAUGUGCCCUUCGCGAUAGCCUCGUGCUUAGAGAAUGGCGGGAAUUAUUCCGACUCAGCCUUUAUUUCAGCUGGUAGGGCCCCAUUGAGCUCAGUAGCUCUUUGGUGAUGACGACCACAGCCCAAGACACUCGGUUGUGGUGAUUGUUACAUUACAGGAUACUGCAGGGUGGAGGGAACGUGCAAACUAACCAGAGCGAAAACAACAACAACAACAAACACGUUAUUUACACGGAACCCACGCCAGAGCUCACUGCACACAUGAGAAACAAUAUACAGGGCUUACAUACAAAUCAAAAUCAGUGUCAAAACCUCCCCGUCACAGACGUGCGGAAUGUCCUCGCUUGGAAACAGGGCCUUAACGGGCAGCGAGCCCAACCGGCUCCGGAUUGGACACUGAUUCCAAAGUUCGCCCUUAUAGGUUAACAUUCGGAAUUUGGUGUUGAUGGGCGCCCAAAUAAUAAUGGCAUUUCCUCGUGAACGACGUCCUUUUAUCAAUUUUCAGAAUUUUUGGCGAAGAUUUCCGGUUCAAGGCGGUUUAUAAACUUCCCAAAAAAGGAAACCAAGCCAAGCUUCUAACGAGCUGAAAAGAGACACUGUGUGAGAAAUAAUAAUAAAAAUGAGAACAGGGAGAAGAUUUCCACGUUUAACAUUUUCACACUGCUGCGCGUACACAAAAGCAAGCGGUAAAUUUCACGAGCGGUUGAAUGAGGUUUGAACACGGCCCACAAAUUCACUCUGGUCACGCAGCGCAAUGAAAUGCAAUAGAAUUUGGACUUAUACAGCGUCUAAAUUGCCACUGCAUCUCAAGGUGUUUGUACAGUAUGAUGUACAUCACCAGGAACAGAAUAGCGUGUGUGUUUGUAUAUACAUAUAGUUUAAAUAGAUGUAUAUACAUACAAGAGCAAUAGACGGAAGAGGAGAGGAUGAUUUUGAACCUGCUUCAGCUGAACAGGGGCAUGCGGUUGGCAGUGCAGACGGCCAGUGGGUCUGAGGUCCAUUAAACAAUUAGCGUACGGUGCAAAAGAAGUGCAACAUGCAUACCGUACAUAAAGCACAGAGGCACCGUGACCAAAGACAUUGUUUGCUGGACUAACACACGAAGCGGAGUAUAGUGAGUUCGUAGCAGGGCGAGUCCGUGGAGGAUCUUGAAGACGCUAAGGGUGAUAUUGAUGCCCAUACUGGACAUCUGCGAAAACAAGCUUUAUAGCUCAUCGGAUUCCCCCGGUAUCAAUAAAUAUUCUGAGCCAGUUGGGUAACUGGGGUGGUGCAGGAAGUGCCGCCUCGAGAGACCGCGGGCAGGAGGCGAGGCUGCACGAUUGCGGGGCUAAGGCCCAUGAGUGUUUCACGGUGACCACGCUUCUCUGGGAUAGGAGCGAAGAGUCGAUGUUUACGGAGGAAUGGGGGAGCUCCACGCUGCCUCCGUAAAUGCCAUCAUUUGGCUCAAGAAGACUGGAGCUAAAUAUCUCGAUUGCUCCUUGACUUUUCACACUGAGCCGCACGCGAGUCGUAGAGUGUUCACUGGCGUUGUGCGUUUUUCACCAAGAGCGUUAGCUUUACAAUAACGCCUAGCAAAUUUAAACUUCGAGUUGAGCAAAGAAGGAACUUUAUUCUGCGCCUCAAUACUGAGUUACCCCCCUCCUCCCUGUGCUUCGAUUGUGCUGCUGUUACUGCUGCGUGGUCAAUCCCGUAGAAUGCUUGGGCCAGACCCGGCCUCAGCAAACUCCUGGCGCCAGGAGAUGAGGUGGGGUGAGCACACAACUCUCGAAUGUCACCGAGCCGCAGUCAAAGAAAUCGUGCUCUUUGCAACAUUCAGCCACGGCCGCGGCCAAAUCACCCGGGGCUGUGUGCGGUGUCUCACCAAGACCUCAGAGGCUAAGCUGGACAGAUAGGGUUAGGACUUGGAUGGGAGACUACCUUCGGGAAUACCAGGAGGUACAUGUAGCCUUUGGGCUGCUAGGUGGCCAGGGGAUGGUAGCAGAGGAAUGGGUUUUGAAUCUAUCUGUGCGGAGUUUCGAGCGUUACCUCUCACACGCGCGGGAUUCCUUGGGUGCCCAAUGGUCCUCUUCUUUUUACUUCCGAUAUUAGGAAGCCACUGGAGCCGUGCACAUUUAUAUCUACGUUGAAAACUCAUUUCUUUAAAACUGCUUUUUUGUGUUCAGUUUUGUCGUCCUUCCCCCGCACCUCCGAUUUGCGCGGUUGGAUACGCACGGUGCGGAAGAAGUUCAAUAUACAUGCAUACGUGAAGCCAAACACUCAUGAUUGCAAACUGGCUAAACAUCCGGGAUCCUUGUGAAAAAGAGGUCUGAGGGUCAGUAAGGCUUUCUUGGGUAAUUAAUGGACAUUAUUAUUCCGACGACUACUAUCGGAAACCGUCGACGUUGUCCCAUGGAGCCUCUUGCACAAUACACGUUUGUAACACCCAGCGAGAUUCGUAAUGAAAUGCGCAACCGCCUCCUGCCAGAACGGCUCGUAAUUUCUAAGAAAUAAACGUCAGCAGUGUCCAUUGAGGUCGCCUCUCGGCGCAGUCGGUGGCACGCAAACCCGGCAACAAUUACAGCAGUAGCAGCAGCAACAACGACGACGACAAAGCCGCGAGAGAGGCGGCUCUGUGUGCCCAACUUUGCGGCAAGCAACUCUAUUCAGGGCAUCGUGACGGUGACGCCAGAGGAGGGCAUUUGCUGGCAAACGUGGUUGGGAACGAAACUUUUAUUUGUUUUUUCACCUUGUGCCACACUAACGCCUUGCACUCACGCACAACUCUCACGCUCUUAGGGAGUGUAAAUCUCUUUCUCGUCCUCCCUCCUCAUCCUCCUCCGUCUUUUUGCGUCCGGCUGAGUUGAGAGCGACGUUAAAGAUCUCGCUCUGAGCGUCAAAGCCACGCAACGGAUUCAGCUGAUGGCUGAGUUCACUGCUGUCGCUACUCCAGCUGCUACUGCCUCCGAUGAAUUUUCAAAGUUGGCAGCGGCAGGGUGUGAGAAACAGACACCGUUCUGCCAGUCUCCGCUGCAAUAUGCCCUCUCCUCGCCUACUCUCUAGCCAUGUGUUUGAUGGUACACACUCAGCUCCAGGAGAUUUACUUAAACCCCAUUAUGCUCCACGGCAGCGGCAUCACGAGUUUGUGCACGGCAUUGCUAAUUGCGUUGAACGGGGCCCCAUAUUUUGAUAUGGAGCACUCUUGCCAAUAACAUAUGGUAAUCCGGCAACGUUUCCAUAAUACGCAUGUAUCUAUCCAUGAGAACCGGAAGGUCGCAACCUGGUCCAGACGGUGUUUGCUUAACAAUAAAUGCUGCUAGGUAAUAUUGGUCUCGAAAGAUAAUAUGCUGGUGAACUAAAACAUAUAUCCGUUUUAUUUAUACGUAAAGAGGCAGAAUUAACUGCCUCUUUACGUAUUUUGCUCAUAUCAAUGUUCUCCAGUGCACGUGGGCGAUGCUGGCCCAGUGCAGGGUGCGGGUGGGGGGGGGGGGUCAAGAGGAGGCCGCCAAGUGAGAGACCGAAAUCGCGGCAAGUGUGCACACAGCACGCCUUUGCUGAACUCGGAUCGCCACCUUUUCCCAUUGUAAACCAAACCCGGACCGUGUUUCUCAGUCAUCACGAGGCCUGUUAUCAAAGCUGUUCAAGUUUAUGCUGUAAUAAAGGUCAACAACAAUAAAAAAAAACCGGUACCAGA